CCUACGGGAGGCAGCAGUGAGGAAUAUUGGUCAAUGGCCGGAAGGCUGAACCAGCCAAGCCGCGUGAGGGAUGAAGGCGCAGAGCGUCGCAGACCUCUUUUGCCGGGGGACAAAAGGCCGGACUCGUCCGGCCCUGCGGGUACCCGGAGAAAAAGCAUCGGCUAACUCCGUGCCAGCAGCCGCGGUAAUACGGAGGAUGCGAGCGUUAUCCGGAUUCAUUGGGUUUAAAGGGUGCGCGGGCGGGCGUUUAAGCCGGCGGUGAAAUCGCGGGGCUCAACCCCGCCGAGCCGGGGGAACUGGGGGCCGUGAGUGCGUGGGAGGCAGGCGGAAUGCGGGGUGUAGCGGUGAAAUGCAUAGAUAUCGCGCAGAACCCCGAUUGCGAAGGCAGCGUGCCGUGGCGGCACUGACGCUGAGGCACGAAAGCGCGGGGAUCGAACAGGAUUAGAUACCCUUGUAGUC
rnacentral:rRNA from 1 species